rnacentral:rRNA from 1 species
AUGCGUCGCGGGAUAGCCGCCGCAUUGCUGCUCUUGCUCGUUGCCGCCGCCGCCGCGGCGCUCCUGGUCCUGGCUCCGCCCCUCUCCUGCGCGCUCUCCGGCUCCGCGGGUCGCCAGCCGCCGCCCCCUCCAGCUAAAGUGCCAUCAAAACGUUCACAAUUGCCAUCCGCUGAUUAUCAGUACCGAAAAUCUUCACUUGUGAUUGGGAUAGCUGAGAUUUUCUGGACUAUUUGA